rnacentral:rRNA from 1 species
UACGUAGGGGGCAAGCGUUGUCCGGAAUUAUUGGGCGUAAAGAGCGUGUAGGCGGUCCGGUAAGUCAGCUGUGAAAGUCAAGGGCUCAACCCUUGAAUGCCGGUUGAUACUGUCGGGCUAGAGUCCGGAAGAGGCGAGUGGAAUUCCCGGUGUAGCGGUGAAAUGCGCAGAUAUCAGGAGGAACACCAAUGGCGAAGGCAGCUCGCUGGGACGUGACUGACGCUGAGACGCGAAAGCGUGGGGAGCAAACAGG